rnacentral:rRNA from 1 species
UACAGAGGGUGCGAGCGUUAAUCGGAAUUACUGGGCGUAAAGCGCACGUAGUCGGCUUUGCAAGUCGGGUGUGAAAUCCCCGGGCUCAACCUGGGAACUGCAUCCGAGACUGCAUUGCUAGAGUAUGGGAGAGGGAAGCGGAAUUUCUGGUGUAGCAGUGAAAUGCGUAGAUAUCUGGAGGAACACCGGUGGCGAAGGCGGCAUCCUGGACCAUGACUGACGCUGAGGAGCGAAAGCCAGGGGAGCAAACGGG